GUAGAAACAUGGCGAUGCAACAUGACGGCCACCAUGGAGGGGGACCUGCUCCCAUGUAGAUAUAAAGGGCUUAUUUCUAAGGUCACACCUGGUGUCACAGCGCCACACUUCAGCAAUGUUAAGUGGUGCUUUUAAUGGGUUUUCUGCCACAGAUUCAAGUUAAAAAAUAAGGACUGGCAUAGACUGCUUCGUAUUAAGGAUCAGAAUUACCUGCAAGAGGGGGCAGAAUCAUUAAAAAUCUCAAGGAGAGAGAGAAGGAAUUGGGAAUCAUUUUCCUUGUCUCAAGUCUUCAGAUGCAGCUGGCUUCCAAUCUUUGUUUGGCAUAAUCAUACAGUCUAAUUGGAGAGGAGAGGGAUUGUUCACUUGAGCGAUGAGGUCUGGGUGAAUCUGGGCUGUGAAGAGACGCUGGCCUUUCCUCGUUGUGGGGGCUCAUCGGUCGUCUGCUUGCUGUCUUCUUUGGAGCCACUGUCCCCCGUGGGCCUGCUGACCACCGCUGCUCACUAAUAACACAAGGAAAGAUCACCCUCACAACACCAGGCGCUGCUUAUACCCAAGCAUAUGCUGUUUCUUAUACUUACACAGUAGAGUAGAGUCUGAACUCUGCCCGUUGUGUGUUGCACCGUAGUACGCUGGGUGAUGUCUAGUCUCUGUGCUGGUGGGCCUGUGGUUUCCAUGCCUCAUCGUUGCUUUCUUCUGUCUCCGUCUCCGAUCCUAGCUCUGCUCCAACUCUGUUCCAGCAUGUUCUCUGGCUGUCUGGAGGUUAACAAUGUUUCGGAGAACUGGGGAGCGUCACCCCACCUGCGGUCUCUGGUUGCCAUGGUGAGGCAGCUUGCGGCCCUUCUCCUUCUCUCCCUCUUCCCCCCGUGAUUCCACCACAGUGCGCCCCUAGAUACGCCAAGGGAGAGAGGGAUGCUUACAUUGUUCACAACAAAGCUGCCUACACCUGGUUCCUACCUCGACCACGGGCAAGGUUAACCGGUGCUCCCCAUCCCCUGCCGUCCUCCCUCCAGAUGCGUGGUCUUCCUUCUCGUGGGCUUCAUCACACCUCUCUUCCCAAGGCAUGGUCAGGACUCUGCAGCACAUUGACACCUUAUAUUGUGUCAAGACCAAGUGGCAGCCUCCAGAGCUGAAAAAUGAAGCCAACGCCUAAGCUAGCUCCAAAGUGUGCCUGGGAUCGAGUAUCUGGAAGGAGCUUCGAGUGGAAUUUCUGUUCCUGUUAAAAGAGGCCACUCGAGGAUGUUUGGGGAUCUGAUCAGAAUUCCUCCCAGACAUCUCCUGGUGGAGGUAUUCGAGACAUGUCCAACUACAAGAAGGCCCUGCAACACACUGGAGGAAUUGCACAUCCUAUCUAGCUUGAAAACGCCUUGCCAUCCCUCAGGAAGUGCAGGAGAACAUGGAUGGGAAGAAGUGCUGCUGAUUCUGCACUGUAGAAACUGAUGAGGAACUUAUGUGCGUAUUGUCCUAAAAUGAAGCUGAGUUCUACAACUGCAUGCUUUUUUUCUGCCUCCGAUUUUUUCAGGUACUUUACAUAUUUCUUGGAUAAUUUUGGAGAAACUUGACAUUCCCUGAACAACCACCAUAUCAUAGCAAACCUAUUGAAAGUGAAACAAGCUGUGUAUUUGUCCAGACGUUAUUGUAGGAAGGUUCUUCAGGUCCAUGUUCUGUGAAAGCAGAUUAACAACUAACAAUCUGUUGAACUCUGUUGAAUUUGUUGAACUUUGCCACACCACCACUGAGCUACGUGAAAAUUGUUGGUUGGUUUCCAAAGCUAUCUCCAAGUUGGAAAAGAACAAUACUUACAAGGGACGAUCAAGCACCUGAAUUCCAUCAGGUCAGAUAAAGUAAAUCUACUGUAUCUCUUGGAUAAAUAGGACAUCCUUUUCUUUUGUAGAUCCAGUUUUGCAUAGUGCAGCUUCAGGCAGAAUAGACAAAAUUCUCCGGUGUUUCCACUUCUUCUGUGCAGCCACAAUAUACAGCUGCUUACUUACACUCUUCAAGGGCAGCAGUGUGUACUGUGUGUUUAACCUCUGUUGCUGAACAUAAUAAAGUAUGCAGUAUUGCACGGUA